rnacentral:snoRNA from 1 species
AUUGGACAACUAUGUGGACAAAUGAGAAAAUACCUUUUGUUUACAGAAAGCAGCAAUCCUACAUAAACAUGGAGGUCUCUGUCUGACAGGAUAGCUGCUAAGUCAGGUCAUUCCCUCCAUACACU